UACCGCACAUGUUCUGUAAGAAGCUCAUGGAUUCAGACACUACCAUGCACGGUGGCAUUCUCCGUGCUGUGCCGCAGAGGACUGCAUCCAGCUGCUGCAACAUUGAGUAAAUAGAGAAGAGAGCAGUAGAUUGAUGGUCAUCUGCAUUUGGUUUCAUUCAUGAGCAUGCGGAAAGGGGCCUGCAGAUUUGAGGCCGAGGGCCAUGGCCGGUGCGGUGGUGCCUUGUCAUUCUCAUGUAAACGCGGAGGUUGCUCGUCAUUCUCUUGUGGAGCGCGACGCAUGAGGAAGCAUCUAGCAUGGAUGGAGGAGGGCACGGGAGAGGAGUAGGUUGAAGGAUUUUGACAGAGAAUGGUGAGCAGGAACCAGCCGUCCUCAACUGCCAAUCAGCAACCUGGGAGUUAUUCAGCAAGCAGAGACAAGAAUGCUGAAAGAAUUACUUCAGAAAGAAACAUAGCAGCAAACCAAGGUGAUUCUGGCACACCUGUAGUGCCAUCUGGAGUUGUCGGUGAUAAGAGAGUAUCACUAGGCGUAGGAGCUUGGGGUCCUGGUCUUCAUGCUCAAUUGGAACAAGGGUAUCGCCAAGCUCGAGAAGUAGUCAGAUCCAAUAAUGGUAUAUAGAUUCUUUCACAGCUUCUUAGUGCUCGGAUGGUUACACCUCCUGCGGCUGUUGAUGCUAUUCAGUCCCUUGCUUUUUGUGUACUGCUUGGCUUGGCUAGAGAUGAUGCAAUUGCUCAUAUACUGACAAAGCUUCAUGUAUGGUGGACUGCAGAACAAUUCAUUUAUUUUCAUGUGUUUUUUCUUACUUUUGCAUGACUAUAAUUUCAGCAACGGGUAGCUGCUACCAACUAUUCCCUUUGUUUCACAUAUAGGGUAUGUUCCUUUUUCUUCAUGCUUUGUUUUGAAAUAGCCGUAGUCAAUGAGGUUUGUAACCUUACUAAGGUCGAACGGGCUACCUAGCUACUCAAACCUAAUUGUGGGAAAUUGGUUAGACAUCAUCUCCUUUUUCUCCCUUCUCAUUUUCUCUGUUACUUGGUCUAUGCAAAAUGCUGUGAGAUGAAUUGGACGGAGGGGUAACCAAUCCUUUUCUUUGUUGUGAAUAAUAGAGUUGGUAAACUACCUCUCUCAUCUCUCUGAUACCCUUCUUUCACCCUCUCUUUACAUAUCUGUCCUGUAGGUUACUUUGUUUGUUGCGUGUUGCCUCCUAGGUAAGUAACUAACUAACUCUUAACCUAUUAUUCCAGAUAUGGAAGAAAUUAUCAGAACUGAUUUGUGACACCAGUACCCAGACAUCUGGAAGUGAUAAUGCAAGAUGGAUAAAUGAACUGACCCAAGUGGCAUUGAACUUAUUGUGGCUUACAAACUUUUUGGAGAAAUAUGUUGGUGCAUAUUGGUCGACCGACUUCAGAAUGUGUUGAACGAACUGAAAGAUUGUAUUUUCCGUCGACUUGAUGCACUUAAGCUAAAUAAUGUGAAGCAAAGCUAUGGAGAAGGCGGUGUAUCUUACAUGAAGUGCCUGCAACGACUGUAGAUAAGGCACAAUAGAGACUUCACCCUUGAUACUUCAACGUUCAUGAACAUGGAGUAUUGGGAACAAAGGGAGUCACUCCAAAAUAUGUGAAUUAGCAAUGAAAAAUAUCAAAAUCAUGACUCUCUUCAGCCUAAGUGUCACGUUGAAGGAAGAACCAAGACUCAGGUUUUCAGUUAAAUGUACUUCGAAAAUGUAUGUAUCUCCCGUUACUGGGGUGUUGCUGAAUUUGAGCAAGCACCCUCAUGUAAAUAUAGGUACACGAUCCUAGCAUAUUGUAUUUCCGAAUUUGUCAGGAGGCACAAAAAAAUUUGUAUCAUGUCUUGAAGUUAUCAAUAUUUAUAGUA